CAAAGUAAAAAAAAAAAAAAUUAUAGUGUGAAGAGUUCAGUAACUCGUCGCGUGUUCCCAGUCGAACUGUUGAAGUACUCAUCUUUCCUGGCUUCCUCUGCUUCCGCUGCGAGCCGCACUCUAGGGACUGGGUACACCGUACACGGCGCCAACAGUCCAACACAGACUGUUAUUGCUGAUUUGCUGAAGAACCGGUCUAAACAUUCUGAAACAGAGCAGAGAAGGAGGAGCAACUGAGCAAGAUUAAUGAGAGGCUGAGAGGCAAGCUUAAGCUCAAUUACUGAUGUUAUUAUGUUAAUCAUGUUAUAUAUAUAUAUAUAUAUAUUUUUUUUUUUCAGUUCUGAUUUGUAUUUGAUUUUGUAUUUAGAAAUUAGAAUAUGUGUCGGGUUUAAUAUCCAAGAUUGUAUAUGUGAAGGGUCUAUGACUAUGAGUAGUCACUGUCAUAUGAGUGUUAUUUUAGUUUUUUGAAUAAAUGACACCUUGCAAACA